GUUGAGCACUAUGAAUAUAAUAGUUUUAACAAACUUUAUAAAGACAAAAUAUCGUUAAAAGAAAAACUUAUCUAAAAUGACGUUUACUUAUUAUAUUUAUCGCGAGUGCGCGGCAAACAUAUUUUUCUAAAACCGGUGAUAGAUUGGUAGACCAAAGAUCAAUAAAAAAACAAGAUCGGACACAUCAAGUCUGCGGGAGAUCUCGUGCUAUAUCGAUUCCCUACGUUUUAUGGCGUUAUCACGCGGGAUUUCAGCAAGUGGACCACGUAACGGAUAUGUCUGGGUUCGCGAUAACAAUAAUCUUGGAUUAUUGAUAAAUCUUUGGGUACACGCCGGGUAUGCGAAUACUUCGUUUACGGAUGGCACUUCACUAACAGAGAACAACAAACGCCACGCGCUAGAGAAUAUUCCUCUGUAUGGUUUACCAGCAUUGGUAACACAAAUCUCAUUUUGAAGCGAACUUCCUGAAGAGCGGACCAUGAAGCCUUUCCAGAUGAUGCAGUUUCAUAAA